rnacentral:rRNA from 1 species
AAUAAAUUAAUAAGUGCAAAUGGCGGAUGCCUAGGCACCAGAAGCCGAUGAAGGUCGUAGGAGGCUGCGAAAAGCCUCGGGGAGCCGCCAACCAGGCUUCGAUCCGAGGAUUACCGAAUGGGGAAACCCGGCUGGAGUAAUGUCCAGUCAUUUCUCUCUGAAUAAAUAGGAGAGUCAAAGGUAACGAGGGGAAGUGAAACAUCUCAGUACCCUCAGGAAGAGAAAACAACCGUGAUUCCGUUAGUAGUGGCGAGCGAAAGCGGAAGAGGCUAAACCAAUCAUGUGCCAAGCCGGCAGGCGUUGCAUGAUCGGUGUCGUGGGACUAAAUGAAAUUAACUGCCGUUAAUUUAACAAGUCAGAAAAUAGUGAAAUAGAUGAAGGACGUGGGAAAGUCCGGCAUAGAAGGU